UACGUAGGGUGCAAGCGUUGUCCGGAAUUAUUGGGCGUAAAGAGCUCGUAGGCGGCUUGUCGCGUCGGCUGUGAAAACCCGCGGCUCAACCGUGUGGUCUGCAGUCGAUACGGGCAGGCUAGAGUUCGGUAGGGGAGACUGGAAUUCCUGGUGUAGCGGUGAAAUGCGCAGAUAUCAGGAGGAACACCGGUGGCGAAGGCGGGUCUCUGGGCCGAUACUGACGCUGAGGAGCGAAAGCGUGGGGAGCGAACAGG
rnacentral:rRNA from 1 species